rnacentral:rRNA from 1 species
UACAGAGGGGGCAAGCGUUGUUCGGAAUUACUGGGCGUAAAGGGCGCGUAGGCGGCCUUCUAAGUCGAACGUGAAAUCCCCGGGCUCAACCCGGGAACUGCGUCCGAUACUGGAAGGCUUGAAUCCGGGAGAGGGAUGCGGAAUUCCAGGUGUAGCGGUGAAAUGCGUAGAUAUCUGGAGGAACACCGGUGGCGAAGGCGGCAUCCUGGACCGGUAUUGACGCUGAGGUGCGAAAGCGUGGGGAGCAAACAG